rnacentral:rRNA from 1 species
AACGAACGCUGGCGGCAUGCCUAACACAUGCAAGUCGAACGAGACCUUCGGGUCUAGUGGCGCACGGGUGCGUAACGCGUGGGAAUCUACCCUUGGGUUCGGAAUAACAGCUAGAAAUGACUGGUAAUACCGGAUGAUGACGUAAGUCCAAAGAUUUAUCGCCCAAGGAUGAGCCCGCGUAAGAUUAGCUUGUUGGUGAGGUAAUGGCCUACCGAGGCGACGAUCUUUAGCUGGUCUGCGAGGAUGAUCAGCCACGCUGGGACUGAGACACAGCCCAGACUCCUACUGGAGGCAGCAGUGGGGAAUAUUGGACAAUGGGCGAAAGCCUGAUCCAGCAAUGCCGCGUGAGUGAUGAAGGCCUUAGGGUUGUAAAGCUCUUUUACCAGGGAUGAUAAUGACAGUACCUGGAGAAUAAGCUCCGGCUAACUCCGUGCCAGCCGCCGCGGUAA